ensembl:lncRNA
UUCUACAUGGUCAGCAGAUGCUUUUCAGUCCCUUCAGACCGAAUGAGCAAAUCGUUGUGUUUGCACGAGUCUAACUAAUAGAAACAUCACGCUAAUAUUCACCUCAGCUCGACAGCGACCCGCCGUUUCAGCCUCAAUGAGGCCAUUUCACAUUCAGACACUCAGCAUAAUGAAAGGCAAUAUCUAGGAAAUCCAAUUUUAUAUCAAUUGCAGCCUUUAGAUGCAGAAUAAUAAGUAAAAAUCUAAAGGGAAAUUACGAGGCGAGGCUAUUAUAAUGCAGACAACCUCCUAGAAAGACAACUGUUUGUGUUUUUAAAGCAGUGAUAUUUCUCAAUCAGGUUUGAUUUGGUUCGUUGUUCAUGAGUUUUCUAGCAGCUUUUCUAUCAGAAUCUACUUGUAAAGCCUCGCAAGGCCACGUCAACACAAUUUCCUAAACGCAUUCAGAAUGAAAAACAUGCAUAUGAGCAUUCAAGCCGGACAAACCAAUUCAUGAAGUUCUUAAGCUCGUCCUUAAAUCCAGACUGCAGUAAAUCCCAUAUUGCAGCUCAACUGCAAACGUCGGCCUGUGUUUUCUGCUUCGUUCCGCUGCAUUUCCAUCCGCUCAUUCAUGUCUCAUCCAGGCAGUCAAAGGAUCCAUUGAUGGCUCCAUCGCUCCUCUGUGGGCUCCUGCUGCGGGUCGAGUCCCGGCGGGUGUGAAGCUUCAUCCCACAUCUGACCGCUGGACGAAGGAUCAGUCAUUCCUCAGGUGACAGAUCGACGAGUGUUACAGAGGACAGCGGGUCAGAGGUCAUCUGCUCAUGUGAUUUGAAUGACAGGAGUGCUGUGUAUAGAUAAAAGGCUGUACUUAGAGCAGCGCUGUUUAGUGACUGGGAGAAUCAGGCUGUUUAAGGCCAUGUCUGAUGCUAAAACAUGUAGAAAGGAGUGUGGAAAAGAAGUGGCCAUCUAGAUGACAGGCGACUGGUCAGGAACAGCCUAAAGAACUCCCUUAAAGGUGCAGUAAGCGAUUUCUGAGAAAAGUCGAUGAAAGUGGAUCGCACCAAAUCCCACUUGUAGCCAAUCACUAGCAAGGGGUGUGUCCACUUAUGAUGGGGGAGGUGCCUGUGUUGCAUGCAUAGGUGCUGAAAUAACCAAGCACGCACAGAAAACACCAGAACAAAGAAAGUCAUACAAGUUCGUAACGACAUGAAGGAAUGAAACUGAAGUCUGCUGAGUUAUGAAAGAGCAACUUCUGAAGAACCAAAUAUUCCUCUGGAAAACCUCUGAAGCUUCAGACAUGUUUUCCAGGAGGAAAAGUACAUGUCUGUCUAACAAUGACCUGCCGUCCUCCAGCCAGCGAGUUAAUUACCAUCACUGGAAAGACAGCCAGACAACUGUCAACACAUGACUCUGCAGCGUGGAAUUAUGGGAGUGUUGAGCUCUGUUCCAAAACACAAUGAGCUGUCUACCUAGACGACGAUUUUACGCAUCAUAGGCGCCCUAACGACACAAAACCUGGUCCUGCAGCAGGCUCCCCCUCCUUCCAGCCUCCUUCUCUUCACUGUUGGCUUUAUCAAGGUCAUCUCUGCUGCUGCUCCCAUCUGCUCUGCAGCAACAGCGCCUCCGUCUGGACCAACACAGGAUGAAAAGAAGAAAAUGAAAAUCAGCGAAACGGCAGAGCUGGGGAUUCUAGCAGAAACAGGUCUGGAGGGAAAUACUGAAUUAAGUCCUGCAGGAGAAACUAAAGGAGACGAGGAGAAGAAAAAGAAGAAAGACAAAGAUGCAGCUGCAAUCACUUCAGACAGCGAGAAUGAAAAGUAGAAGAAGAAGAUGAAGAAG